GAUGAAUGCUGGCUACAGGCUUAACACAUGCAAGUCGAGGGGAAACGGCAUUGAGUGCUUGCACUGAAUGGACGUCGACCGGCGCACGGGUGGGUAACGCGUAUCCAACCUUCCCGUUACUGCGGGAUAACCUGCCGAAAGGCAGACUAAUACCGCAUGUUCUUCGAUGACGGCAUCAGAUUCGAAGCAAAGAUCCGUCGGUAACGGAGGGGGAUGCGUCUGAUUAGCUAGUUGGCGGGGCGACGGCCCACCAAGGCGACGAUCAGUAGGGGUUCUGAGAGGAAGGUCCCCCACAUUGGAACUGAGACACGGUCCAAACUCCUACGGGAGGCAGCAGUGAGGAAUAUUGGUCAAUGGGCGGAAGCCUGAACCAGCCAAGUAGCGUGCAGGAUGACGGCCCUACGGGUUGUAAACUGCUUUUAUGCGGGGAUAAAGUGAGGGACGCGUCCCUUUUUGCAGGUACCGCAUGAAUAAGGACCGGCUAAUUCCGUG
rnacentral:rRNA from 1 species